AAAUAGAUACCCCGGGGUAGUCCACGCCGUAAAACGAUGAAUGCCAGGUGUCAGGGGUUUCGAGACCCUUGGUGCCGAAGUUAACACAUUAAGCAUUCCGCCUGGGGGAGUACGGCCGCAAGGCUGAAACUCAAAGGAAUUGACGGGGGACCCGCACAAGCAGUGGAGCAUGUGGUUUAAUUCGAAGCAACGCGAAGAACCUUACCAGGUCUUGACAUCCCCCUGACCGGCGCAGAGAUGAGCCUUCCCCUUCGGGGGACAGGGGAGACAGGUGGUGCAUGGUUGUCGUCAGCUCGUGUCGUGAGAUGUUGGGUUAAGUCCCGCAACGAGCGCAACCCUUAGGUCCAGUUGCCAGCACUUCGGGGUGGGCACUCUGGAGCGACUGCCGGUGACAAACCGGAGGAAGGCGGGGAUGACGUCAAAUCAUCAUGCCCCUUAUGACCUGGGCUACACACGUGCUACAAUGGCCGGUACAAAGGGCAGCGAAGCCGCGAGGCGGAGCCAAUCCCAAAAAGCCGGUCUCAGUUCGGAUUGCAGG
rnacentral:rRNA from 1 species